GAGUUUGAUCGUGGCUCAGGAUGAACGCUAGCUACAGGCUUAACACAUGCAAGUCGAGGGGCAUCAGGAAGAAAGCUUGCUUUCUUUGCCGGCGACCGGCGCACGGGUGAGUAACACGUGACCAACCUGCCCCCCUCUCCGGGACAACCUUGGGAAACCGAGGCUAAUACCGGAUGCUCCCUCCCCUGCUCCUGCAGGGGUCGGGAAAGCCCAGGCGGAGGGGGAUGGGGUCGCGGCCCAUUAGGGUAGUAGGCGGGGUAACGGCCCACCUAGCCCCGCGAUGGGUAGCCGGGUUGAGAGACCGACCGGCCACAUUGGGACUGAGAUACGGCCCCAGACUCCUACGGGAGGCAGCAGUGGGGAAUUUUGCGCAAUGGGGGAAACCCUGACGCAGCAACGCCGCGUGCGGGACGACGGCCUUCGGGUU
rnacentral:rRNA from 1 species